rnacentral:ncRNA from 1 species
GUGUUGUAUGAUAGGCAAGAAGGUUAGCACUCACCUUAACAAGGAUGGAAAAGGGUCUAGUGAUCUAUACAACAUACAUAUGGUGUACCAUCUAACUAU